rnacentral:rRNA from 1 species
UUUUUUGGAGAGUUUGAUCCUGGCUCAGGACGAACGCUGGCGGCGUGCCUAAUACAUGCAAGUCGAGCGGAGUAAGGUGAAACUUGUUUCACCUAGCUUAGCGGCGGACGGGUGAGUAACACGUAGGUAACCUGCCCAUAAGACUGGGAUAACUACCGGAAACGGUAGCUAAUACCGGAUAGGUUCUUCUCUCGCAUGGGAGGGGAAAGAAAGACGGAGCAAUC